rfam:Vavraia culicis subsp. floridensis unplaced genomic scaffold supercont1.23, whole genome shotgun sequence.
UCUCACUUGGUGUAGCGGUCAGCAUUCCAGCCUGUCACGCUGGCGACCCGAGUUCGAUUCUCGGAGUGAGAG